rnacentral:lncRNA from 10 species
AAGCAGUAGCUACCCGCGGGAGCGGGGAGGGGUCCGGGUUCGAGCUUGUGUUCCCCCGGAAGGGUGAGUCUGGACGCGGGCGCGGAAGGAGCGCGGCCGGAGGUCCUCAGGAAGAAGCCGCGGGGACUGGCUGCGCUUGACAGGCUGCACUUGGAUGGGAGCACCUGGUGCCUCGGGACUGCUCCGAUGCCCGGGUCUGUGCUGAAUGUGUAAUAUGCGGAACUAUAUUGAAACAUUACAACCAUCUUUUGAUGGCAACACCCUGAGGACCUCCCUUUUCCAGAUGGGGAAACUGAGGCCCAGAAUUGCUAAGUGGCUUGCUUGAGUUGACACAGGGAGCUCCAGGACUCACCCUCAGGUAUCACUCCUCCUUGCUUCAAUCUCUUUGCCCUCUUCGAUGCUCAGGCCCAAGUCUGGUUGCCCCCAAACCACAUCCUAGAGAUCCCCAGAGAUGCAAGCCUGAUGCUAUAUUUCCGCAUAAGGUUUUAUUUCCGGAACUGGCAUGGCAUGAAUCCUCGGGAACCGGCUGUGUACCGUUGUGGGCCCCCAGGAACCGAGGCAUCCUCAGAUCAGACAGCACAGGGGAUGCAACUCCUGGACCCAGCCUCAUUUGAGUACCUCU